rnacentral:rRNA from 1 species
GAAAGCAGCAGGCGCGAAAAUUACCCACUCUCAGUUCGAGGAGGUAGUGACGAGAAAUGACAAGGUUUAGUCCUUCGGGGCUGAACCAUUGGAAUGGUUUGAUUUUAAAAUCAUUAAAGAGUAUCAAUGAGAGGGCAAGUCUGGUGCCAGCAGCCGCGGUAAUUCCAGCUCUCAUACUGCAUUGAAUUGUUGUUGCGGUUAAAAAGCUCGUAGUUGGAUCUCUACACAAUAGGAUGGUUCACUCUUUGAGUUGAAACUAUUACUAAGUGUUAUUUAUCAGUUUUUUUAUUAUCUUCGGGUAAUAAAUGACUGAUGAGUUUACUUUGAAUAAAUCAGAGUGCUCAAAACAGGCGUAAGCUUGUAUGGUUUUGCAUGGAAUAAUAGAACAUGACUAUGGUUCAUGUUUUAUUGGUUUUACUUACCAUAGUAAUGAUUAAAAGGAACAAACGGGGGCAUCCGUAUCGCAGGGCGAGAGGUGAAAUUCGUGGACCCUUGCGAGACGAACUACAGCGAAAGCAUUUGCCAAGAAUGUUUUCAUUAAUCAAGAACGAAAGUCAGAGGAUCGAAGGCGAUCAGAUACCGCCCUAGUUCUGACCGUAAACUAUGCCAUCUAGCGAGUUUCGGGUGGAUAUUUUAUAUUUGCCCUUGAAACGAGCUUCCCGGAAACGAAAGUCUUUCGGUUCCGGGGGAAGU